rnacentral:miRNA from 15 species
GGGGAGGCAGUAGGGGCUCAGGG